GACGAACGCUGGCGGCGUGCUUAACACAUGCAAGUCGAACGGAAAGGCCCUGCUUUUGUGGGGUGCUCGAGUGGCGAACGGGUGAGUAACACGUGAGUAACCUGCCCUUGACUUUGGGAUAACUUCAGGAAACUGGGGCUAAUACCGGAUAGGAGCUCCUGCUGCAUGGUGGGGGUUGGAAAGUUUCGGCGGUUGGGGAUGGACUCGCGGCUUAUCAGCUUGUUGGUGGGGUAGUGGCUUACCAAGGCUUUGACGGGUAGCCGGCCUGAGAGGGUGACCGGCCACAUUGGGACUGAGAUAAGGCCCAGAGUCAUACGGGAGGCAGCAGUGGGGAAUAAUGCACAAUGGGCGGAAGCCUGAUGCAGCAACGCCGCGUGCGGGAUGACGGCCUUCGGGUUGUAAACCGCUUUCGCCUGUGACGAAGCGUGAGUGACGGUAAUGGGUAAAGAAGCACCGGCUAACUACGUG
rnacentral:rRNA from 1 species